UUUCUCUGUGUAGCUUUGCGCCUUUUCCUGGAACUCACUUGGUAGCCCAGGCUGGCCUCGAACUCACAGAGAUCCGCCUGGCUCUGCCUCCCGAGUGCUGGGAUUAAAGGCGUGCGCCACCACCACCCGGCCUGCAUUUUUAUCAUCAUGAAAACUAUUUCUCAAUAAACUUGGUGCUUUUAUAAUAAUUUUACUUCUCAACAAAGGGUUAAUUAUCAUUCCUAAUCUUUCCUUCUCCACACCAUAAGUACACACCACUCAACUUUGGGGUCAUUCUUCUUUAGGUCUUUGCUCCAGGAAUAAUGACAAAAAUGUAUUUCUGAAAAGCUUUUCAUAUUAUUUUGCCUCUGCUUGCACAUGUAUUUUUCUUUGCCUGUGUCUUCAUCUCUUGUGUAAUCCUUAUUUAUGUCUCAAGGUGUGUCUUAGUUUUGUUGACCCUUCAAUAUUGUGACACAUGGCAUCCCUUUGUAUGCCCAUCAUUCUUGAUCUUAUCUCAGAUCAAUGAUUUAUUUAUCAAACAUCUACUAGAUGUUAGGGCUGAAAGAGUGAACAAUAUAUUUAUGAUCCUUGCAUAAUACCAAAUACUCUGGUAAGUUUUAAACAAACCAGAAGUGCUAUAGAAUAUCAAUUUAAACUGUAGCAAGCACUGAGACAAAAAUUAAAACAAUAUAAUAGCUCUGAGAGUGACAAGCAGAGGUGGUGGGGAGGAUUCUUUAACAGUGUGGUCAAAUAUCACUUCUUUAAAGAAAUCUUUUGUCAAGAUGAGAAGGAGUCAUCUCUCUCAAAGUUCUAGAGGAAGAAAAUUCUAGUCAGAGAGAAAAGAAACACAAAUUUUAAAGUAGGGCCAUGCUUGCUACGUUUGAUGGAUGAAAGAAGGGAAGUGUGGUUGAGGCACAGAGAAUGAAGGGACAGAAAGCAAAAUAAAGACUUGGGGUUUCAGGGACACCAAACCGUCGAUGGCUUUAUGGCUUCCAGUAAUAUGUUUGUGUAUUUUUCUCUUAUCAAUGAAAAGUACUCACAGCUUAUGAUCAGACUUUAAUUUUUACUUAGUUCUUUACUUUCUUUAGUUCUUUGCAGACUUUACUUUCUCUUAGUUUUCAGUGAAGAAUAAACUCUAGGAGUGUAAGAAUGGAGAUGGAAAUUAACGAAUGCCUAGGGUGAGGAAUGAAGAUGUUAGGAGGUGGGCACAUUCGCAUUAUUUGUUAUUUUAUUUUGCCAUUUAUUUUUUUUAUUUUGCCAUUUCUUAAGAUAGGAUCUCUCUUUAUAUCCCAGUCUGUCCUUAGACUGCCCACCCUCUGCUAUAGCCUUCCCCAAGUUCUCGGAUUAUAGUUGUACACCACAUGCUGAGAUGGCAUUUUUAUAGAUUAUAUCGAUUAACUUUUGAAGUGGCACUCAGAGAGCAGACUUGAAGAUGAUUAUGGGUUUUCAUUUAAAAAUAUUGAUGAUAAUGAAAUACGAACAAUGGGUAGGAAAAAUAGGAUUUUAGUUAUUUUUAAAUUACUGGAUUUUUUUGGGACAGUGUCUUACCAUGUAAGAGAAAAGAGCCAUCAUUAGGACAGAGCACGGAACCGUAGUGUCUGGGAAGAGUCCAGUGCUGUCACAGAGAACAACAUUUGGAAGCCCAAAGAAGGACUGGAGGUCAAAGUUCAACCAAUGACAGUUAGCUAUCUCCCACUAUUAAAGUUGCUUGUCUAUAUUUGCACAUUCUUUAGUAGAUUCUAACUUCCCUGGUACUAGAGAGCAUCAACUUUCUUCCUUCAAUAUAUCGGUGCAGAGCCUAUCCUACCGUAAGGUCUUAGUAAUUAUUUAUUGAAUUGAUUAAUGAACAUAUGACUUCUGGGGCUUCAGAAGACUCAACGAUUCCUGACAGUGAUGAGAAAAGUGGAGAGACGAUUUUUGGUCCUUGCACUGACCUCCAGCCAAACUGUGCCUUAAAUUUCCCUGAAGUGUAACUUGGGAGCUAUAAAAAGCAAGCCCAACAGCUCAUUGGAUGGCAUUCAUUGAAGAAUGAUGGACAGCCAGGCAGAGUGCGCCAUGCAGAAGGGGACUGGGAAGAAUGACUGGGCUAUCGUUUCCGUUAGUUAUAUAUUCACAAAUAAGCUGGGAAUUGCGGCUCUGCUUUGAUUCACCUCACUGAAAGUGAAAACGGAGAACUGAGUGUUUCCCCAAAGGAAAUCUAAAACUGAAUAUAGCAUAGAUACUAAUGGUGUUUUUGCUUAACUUUCAAUAAUGUAUCAUUUUAUGAUUUAAUAUCAAUUCUAGGGAGAUACAUUAGAAGCGACACAUAAAGCAUUUAGAGUUCCUCGGAGAAAGCUAUUCAUAAUUCUAAAAUUAUAGUGAUAAUUAUUGGAUAAUGAAGAUGUCUAAAGUCACAUCUGAGCUACACAUUGAUAAGCUUCUAAAUCUGCUUAUAGUUCUAAAUACAGAAAGGAAGAUAUUUUUAUUCUUAUACUACCAUGUUUUCAAUGUAUUUACCUCAUAAAUUCUUACUCAUAUUUUAAAUGUAGGAGUGUCUCAAAUUCAUAUGCCUUGUUUGUUUUUCAGGGUCUUCCUAUGUAGCCCACAUUGGAAUUACAGGUGUGUGGAAUUGCGCCACCUCUUCUGAACUAUUUCCUCUUUCCUUUCUUGAAAUUUUCCUGAAGUGAUUGUUUUUCCCCCUGUCAGCUUAACUAUGCCAAUGAUUUCCACACAUAUAUCUAAUCUAGGAAUAACCUCUGCAGUAGAGACCCAAAUACUUACUAUUUAUUAUAAAUUGUUUUUAUUUUCUUCUGCUGUUUUCAUGUGGUGUGUGUGUGUGUGUGUGUGUGUGUGUGUGUGUGUGUGUGUGUGUGUGUGUGUGUACAAGCAUUGUAGGUACAUGUUGAAGCCCAAGGUGAUGUCGGGAACACCCUCCAUCAGUCUUUCAUCUUAUUCAAUGAAACAGGGUCUCUCAAUGAAAUCUGUAUCUCACCAAUAUGGCUAGUCUCUCGGGCCUCCUUGCUCUGGGAAUCCUGUCUGCCUUUGGAGCCUGGAAAUAGGGGUGUGCCACCAUUCCUCCUGUCAUUUUACAUGGUUCUCGGCAUCUGAGCUCCAGUCCUCCGGCUUGUACAGCAUGUACUUGAUUGACAGGGCCCUCUCCUGCGCACCCCAGGAUGUAAAUUCUCAAGGGUGUGACUUCAUGUCUGCUUUAUCCAUGACUGUACCAACAGUUACUUGAUGCUUAACAAGUUUCAAGAAAUGUUUGCUGAGAGGUGAUAAUGAUGUAACAGUGCUACAUUUUUCUUAGUUUUGGCUCAUUUAAUUACUCAGUGUUUUUCCCUUGUUGAUGUGCCCAAUUCUGAAAUCCUACAUUCUUUCAAAUGCCACUUUCUCCAUGAACUAAUGUAUUCUUCCGGAUGAAGGUAGCAUCUCUUCUAGACAACCGUGAAGCUUUAUCUGGUCCUUAUUAAGGUCUUCUUUGGCCCGACAGAUAAACAGAUAUAUACAGAUAUACAGAAUACAGAGUGAUAGAAUGAAAUAGUCUCAAUCUGUGAUGAAAAACAAUCUCUCAGGGGUUGAGGAUUUAGCUUAGUGGUAGAGUGCUUGCCUAGCAAGCACAAGGCCCUGGGUUUGGUCCUCAGCUCCGAAUUAAAAAAAAGAAAGAAAGAAAAACAAUCUCUCUCUUCAUUACUCCAGUUUGGCAUCUUUUCACCUUGCUGGAUCGUCUCAUCUUUCUAUGUCUGUUAUUCUGAAACAUGAGUUGGCAGUGGAUGCAGACUGAGAGGUGGUUACUGUUCGGGAGGGGAUCUGAUUUCCCAUAAGUUGUUGAUCCAGGUUUGCCCAGGCAAGCCCUUGUUCUUGUGUGAUCUGGCAUCAUAAUGCACACGGCUCAGAAGUGUCUGAGCUGAAUGACAACGUUCACCUAACGGGUAAGUCACUCUAUAUGGCAUAACCGUUGAUGGAUUUCAAAGAGCUUUGUGUACAGAAAGAUAUAAAAAGAAUGGUAAUACGAAAUCAUCUAUGAUGUAAACAUUUUUGUUAUAGAAUUUAUAUUUUCUUACCAUGGUGGAAACUUGACCAACCUUAUUUCCUUUUACAUAAAGAGAGGGGUUAUUAUUUGCUUAAUAAUCUAUAAGGUGAUGUUUGGAUGGGGAAUAGCUCAAAAUCAAAUAUACCAAGCAAAGAUUGUCCCUUGUGAGGACUUACCAUCAAAAAGCUUCAAGUCAUCAAGGACCCCUGACUUUAGGAUGUGAUGUAAGGUAUAGGGAGCCACAAAUGCACAACAGCUCCCUGCUUAACCUGUUCCCAGGAAGCUUUUAAAGGAUUUUCUCUGGUGAAAUUCCUAUUGUAUAGACACACUUCUGUAUAUACACACUUCGUGCAGCAGAUGGCGUGUUUGCAACAAAUUGUUCUUUCUCUAUUCCCACCCCCUCUUUGGAAACUAACCACCAGGUUUCUGCCAGAAACUGCCACAUUCAGGGUGACACAUGAUGCUGUUAAAAUAAAACAUAAAGGUUAGAGUAAGAUCGGUGAUGGGUCCUAAAUUGAACAUUGGUUUCAAGAAACCACCUCUAUAAGAGUCUAGAAAUGAAUAGUCCAUAAUAUGAUGAAAAACUCCAGCUGACAUCAAAGGAACCUCUUGCCUUCUUUUUAAAGAAUUCUGUUUAAUUCAUAAUUCAAAGAGUCCGUGAAACAUUCUGGAAACUUUUGGAGAGAUAUCAGCCCUUCAAUUCAAAAUGAUGCACUCUGGGAAACGGUGGUGCCAAGGUGGCAAGCCUACUAGGGAAUUUACACCAGCAAUCAAUUACAAUUACAAAGGGGAUUAAAACAGGACUUUAAAGAGCCGAGCUCCACCCUCAGGGCUCCCAGCUGUGUGGUAAACAUAGCAAAGGAGCCUGUAAUUAGAGGAAACCUGUAAUUAAAAUUUUCGACCCUCUUAGGGAGACACUCUGAAGGCUUAAAGGGGUAGGAAAGAACUCCAUUUCAGUGGUCUUGGGAAGGUACUUCAUGUCUUCAAGAGAAUCUGUUUCUUCUGAUAUCAUCAGCCCCGUCUUGUGCUAGUUUUUCUUUUAAGUCUAUAUUGCUCCUACUGUUCAGGAAUAAUUUGAAGGAUUUGCAAAUCCACUGCUGGAGACUGAUUACAAAAGAGAGGGAAGAAGAGAAAAAUGAUUUUGAACUCUGAAAUAACUCUAGAAGCCCUGAUAACAGUGAAGGACAAGGUGAUUAUUUCAGCUACAAUGGAUAACGAAAAUACUUUUUACCUGCUGUCUCUCUUGUGGUGAAAUGCAUAGCAAAACAUGUUCUGAACAGUUUUAUCAUAAGCUCCAAACAAAUAGAAAAAUGAUUGGCAUUCUAGCCUCUGUCGAUCAAAGAAGAUCCCACAAGACAGGUAUUGUCUGAUGAAGUUUUGAUGAAAGUGGGUAAAAUGAUCUAAUGGUUUAGUGGUACUAGAAAUAAAAUGAAGAAACUAUUCCAUGGUGAUUUUGUAAACAAAACAAAACAAAAAGCUUGAGAAUUUAUUUUAAUGAGUGUAUUUUUAUGUGAUAUGACCCCUCUCUCUCUGUAUGUGUGUGUAUCUUUCACAUUGAAUAUAUUUAUUAAAGACUUCAAGAAAAAUUAAGCCUCCUUCCAAAAACUAUUUGAUGUAUGCCAUUAAUGAAGGCUAAGAAAGUGAAAUGAUAUGUGCAAGGCUGUAAUUAAACUCUCAUGUAUCCUGAGUCUCUGUCCAGUGUAUUAUAUUUAUAUGUAAUGCUUGGUUCUGUGAAAAUAUCUAGAAUUACAGUUACCUUGUGUGGCAAAGAUGAGCUUUAAGAAGGAGACAGUUUCAAACCCAUGGAGAGUAUGUUUUCAGUCAAUACAUUAUGUGAAAUGGCUUCCAAAUUUGAAAAGCCAAGGAAGAUUAUCGUGUCGUUUUUGAUGAGGUAGAACCAAAGUGGGAAACUCAUGAUAAUAUGCAAUAUGUUAGCUCUGUUUUUCUUCAUAAUACAAGCAGUAACUAUUAAUGAGUUUCAACCUAUACCAACUUUUCAUUUCAGAUUUUAUUCAUGCUACUCUUGAGAGAAAAUUAUAUACGCUUGCUAAGCUUUAUUGCUAAUGAUGUUCAGUACCUUCUUUCUUCUUUCUCCCCCACCUUUUCUUCCCCUCUGUCACUGCACGUGUGCACAGUAUAUGUGCAUGUGUGUAUGUGUGUUGGCAUGUAUGUAGGUAGACUGAGCCAUUGCCUCUGUUCUCAUUCUUGCUUCUUCUUCCUCUCUCUCUCUCUCUCUCUCUCUCUCUCUCUCUCUCUCUCUCUCUCUCUCUCUCUCUCUCUCUCCUGGUCUCUCUCUCUCUCUCUCUGUCCCCUUCUCUGUUUCUUUUAUGCCCCCCUCUCUCUAUGUAGUACUGAAGAUAGAAUUCAAGGCCUCAAUCAGGCUGGCCAAGUUUUCUGCCAUUUAAUUAAAUCCCUUUGUUUCUCAAUUUUCUUUAACAAUAUUGAGCAGGAAUUUGUAAUUUCUUGACUUUUUAACAAGGAAUGCUGUUGAAUAAAUUAUUUUAGUAAAGAAUCAUGAUUUUCUUUAUAAAUCAAAUAAUCUAAGGCCAUUAAAAACCAAAGAGGAGAAGACUUCACUGUAAUGUAAAAGGCAAUGAUGCCGGCUUUGGGGAUCACUAAUGUGUCCUGUAUGUUACACUUACACAAACAUGCAUGUGAUUUUUAAGUGGGUUGUCCUUCAGUUCCUUUUCAAGGGGCCUUGACUCCUGCACUCCUUCCUAAGUACUCUGUUAGAAUUUGCAUUUACUCUAACUAUGUUUAGGAAGUGUAAUGUGUUCAAAAUUGUUACAGAGAUCAGAAGAGAGGACAGACGUAAAACAAUAUUUUCAAGUCUCUCACACCAAACAAGGGACAUAAGUGUCCCAGUACUCUUGUCGCAGCCCUUACUGUAGCCACCUCGUGCUGUGGCUCAGCAUACGCACCUGCAGGAGAGAGCUGCUGUUUGAGGGUGCUUCUCUCAACAACUUUUUUGUUUCUUUUCCAGUGUCUGACAUAAGAAAAUCAUCCAAAAAUUGUUGAAGAAAUGACAACAUGUUGAUCAAUGUAGCUCAUAGUGCUUUCAAUGUUCCUGUCUUUAAUAAUACAUUAUUGUGGUGAUGGAAGUAGGCUAACUUGCUAUUGUUGUUAUGAACAAGACUUGCAAGAGGUCAGGACAACCUGAAUAUUGCUUGAAGUCAUACAAUUAGAUUAGAGGUGUUCUGCUGCAGGGAGGAGAGACACCAUCAAAGAAAGACAUCCUAUUUUCUCAACGUUGAGGGCCAAGCAAACAUCACUCAGUCAUUUUGCUUUCUUCACAUGUGAUCAACAGUUGUGUGGUAGGAAUAGGUAGUGUACCAAUUUAUACUUAUUUACAGUAUAACUUUGAUAAGUACCUGACUCUAGUAUUGAUUCUUGAGGACAAAAAUGGCAGUUUGAUAUGAGAAGCUCAUCUGUGUUUAAUUAUUGUUGUACAAUAAACAAGCUGACUCUAGUUCUCGUCAAAUCCCUUGGGAUUUUUAACAAAUGGCUUAUUCUCUGGAAAUUAAAAUGCCUGAGAAUUCUCAGAAUUUGUAGAAAAUAUGUACUAGGCUGUUAACAUUCAUUUGGUCUUUAUAAAUAUAAUUAGUAGUUUUAUGUGUGAAUGUGUGUGUGUGGGGAGGGUUACUCUACCACUAAGCUAUAUAUUCAACUCCUCAAGUAUAUUUUCUUGAUCUAUCAACACACUUUUUAAAUGUAAAAUAUUCUAAAUCUUGGAUAUUGUUCCUGCUACAUCUUAGAGCUUGAAGGAAAAAAGAACAUUUGCUUCAAGGUUCUGCAACUUCUAGAUUGCACCGCUUCUCUGUUCUCACUUCCUCCAUCUUUUACAUCCUAAGUCCAUCUAGUCACCGUCAUCCUUUCAAUUACUCCUGAGCAGGCUUGCACCUCAGGCUCUGUCUAGCUUGCCAGGACUGUUCUUCCCAUAUUCUCAUAUGGCUUGCUCCCUCCUGUCCUUCAGAUUUCUGCUCAUAUAUCAAGUUGUUGGUGAGACAGUUUCUGCACAUCUUAUAUAAGAUAGUAGUUUUAUUACUAUAAACAAAUAGGCAUUUGGUACUCAGCAUACCUGUUUAUUUAUAAAAUAUUAACAGUUGAAUCUGGGAUUGAAUUUGUUGUAGUCCACAGACCCAGGCAGGGUAGAUCUAAAGUGGUAUGAGCUUUGAUGAUUCUAUAUCUCUUCUACUUAUUCUUGUCAAUAUUUUCUCAAGAUUCUCCAAUAGCAAACAUAACCCAGCUACUUCAGGAUGCCAGUCAUAGUUUUCUGCACUUUAGAUAGGAAUCAUUCUACUGCCUUUUACUUUGGAUACUUCUACAUAGUGAUGGAAGGAAGUGAUUUCUAUUCCCUGAGUUCUUUCUCUUUGACCUUGGGUGAGUGAUUUCAUUAUCUCCCUUCCCUACAUAUAGAAUGAUUAGUACUACUGACUUGGCCAAAUACACAGAGCUGCAUCAGGAUGAAAUGCAGUGUGUUUCAACGUGCUUUGUAAAAUAAUACAGUGAUCAAAGCAAUGUGGUGACAUAUGCCUGUAAUCUCAGCACCUGGGAGCCUGAAGCAGGAGCAUCAUUGGUUUCAAGUCAGCCUGGGUACAUAGUGAAAACUCAUCUCAAAAAGCCAAAGUGUGGUGGGAUAAAGUGCGGAAGGAGCAUUUGUUGUUACAACUAAUCUAGCAUCUGAGAGUUUGAACUUUUAGCAAUGUUAUCGCUUCAGUUUCUCAACUGAGUGAGUUCUUGUAAUGGACCGCUAAACAUAAGUGACACUAAAAUAACUCCCUGCGUACACUGCAGCUUGGGAUACAAGAUAAAGGGAUGAACUUGCAGAUUCAGAAUCAUAUUAAUUAGUUAAAUCUCCCUGGUCUAGUAGACAGUAAUAAAAAUUAGCAUGACGCUAAGUAACUUUUGUUUUCUCAUCAUUAUUAUCAAAUUAAUUAAUCUCACUUUAAAAGUCCAUAACAAACUUUUUACCCUUGCCACAGUAUUUAAGAUAAAAUUAUGACAUAAUUUCCCCCAAACCAAGAACAUAAUGUAUACUUUUUUCCCUAUGCUGUUUAAUGACUAAUUCAGAGUCAAAGACUUGUGAGAUACAGUUGUCCAAUACAUAGGAGAUCCUGGGUUCUUUCUGUUCCCAGCACUGAAAACAACCAAACAAAGCCCCUCCCCCGACACACACAAAAAAAUAAACCCAAGAGACAAACAAGGCAUGAAAGGAAAUGUAAUGAACUUCUCCAUUGAAAAAGAGGAGACUAAUCUUAAGAGCCAUCGUCUAUGUGUUAAGUUUUUGGGAAGACCCCAUGUAGGUUAAGUCAAUAAAGGAGCAUAUGAAACUAGAAAUUCUUUUCAGAACUAUUUUACUUACAUUUUUACUAUUUAAAAUAUUGUUGAAGGCAUUAUAGACUUCUUAGUGAACAUCAAUGAAGUUACAAAUAUCUACAUUAUGAAUUAUUUUCUACUUUUAUUAAAAUAGCAAUUAUCAAGAUUUAAGGUUUUAUCACUUCUAUUCCUUUUGGGUCCAGAGAUGUCUUUGUAAAUUCCUCACAGAGCUGGCACAGUAGUGCUGCCAUGAGACUGAUGGUGACUGAGUAGGCUAUAAACAAAACCUCCACCAGGCAUGGUGGUACACACCUUUAAUUCUGGCACUUCGGAGAUAGAGGCAGAGGCAGGUGGAUCUCAAUGAGUUUGAGGUCAAUCUGGUCUGCAUAGUAAGUUACAGUCCAGCCAAGGCUAUAUGGUGAAGUCUUGUCACAAAUCAAUCAAUCAAUCAAUCAAUCAAUCAAUAAACCCUCCAAACUUUCUUUUUCUUUCUUUUUUCUUUUUUGGUUUUACUAAUGAAUUUAUGGAAAUCACAUAAAGUAAGAAUGAUUUAAUUAGUACAAUUUAUAGUACCAUUGUGUAAUGGGUCAAAGAAUAGAGAAUACAAACACAAACUGUUAAUCAUUAACAAAAAGAAAACAUCAACUCUCAAGCCCACAUUUUGAUCUUUUCAUUUUCAACAGAGAUUCUAUGUUUAAUCUGAUGCACACAAUCACACACAAAAUGGUUGUCGUUUUUAGACAAGGUUUGACUAUUGUACCUCAUGCUAGACUAAAAAUCUGUGAUCCUAGACUGAAAAUUUGUGACCCUCUUGCCUCACACACCUCACUCCUGCAAUUUCUUCUAUAUAUCACCACAGCUACCUAAAGUGGAUAGUUUUACAUAAUGACUCAGCUUUGUUUUUACAAAAGUUUGAGGCAUAAUUUCUUUCUAUUAUAGAGGUCUUCAAUGAACUUAGGAUUUGCACUAUAAAGUUGAUCUUUAUGUAGACAUGUAUUGUUAUUUAUAUACUCCUUUGUUCACAUUGCCAAUAUAGCAAUAAUGAUGAUAGAAAUCUUUAUUCUUAUUUUUUUUUCGAUUUUUUGAGACAGGGUUUCUCUGUGUAGCUUUGCGCCUUUCCUGGAACUCACUUGGUAGUCCAGGCUGGCCUCGAACUCACAGAGAUCCGCCUGGCUCUGCCUCCCGAGUGCUGGGAUUAAAGGUGUGCACCACCACUGUCUGGCUUAUUCUUAUUUUAAACACAAUUAUUUUUAAAGAUUUUCUAUACUAUAAUAUGGUGAUAUUUUAUUUGUACUGAAAUGUGAUUUUAUUUGUAUGUUAAUAAAUAAAGUUGCCUGGAGAUCAGAGCUAAUAGCAAGCCAUAGCAGAAGUCUGGCAGUGGUAGCACAUGCCCUUAAUCCCAAUCACAUGACAGGCAGAUCUCUGUGUGUUCAAGGAUACAGCCAGCAUGGAGACACAUGCUUUUAAUCUCAAUACCAAGCGUAGAAGACCUGAAGGUCUGUAUAGAUGGGCAGUGAUGAGGAGGUCAUGUGGUUGGGUUUACAACCAAUGAGAAGGCAGAAUAGAAAGUCUAUAAAAAGACAAACACACAGGAAGUAAGUCUCUUGCUGAGGAGGACAGCAGUGGCAGUGAAGGGUAAGGUUUUUAGCUUUUAACUAUUGAUCUGACCUCUUGGGCUUUUAACCCUGCAAUUGGCUCUGUGUUUCUUAUUUAAUAAGAUUGUUCAUCUACAUCAUAAUAAUUAAAUUAAAUUAUAGAUUAGCUCUAUCAUGUUUCCAUCUAUGUAUGUGUAUAUUUAUUAAUUUUUUUAUUUUAUUAAAUUUUCUAUUCAUUUCACAUACCAACCUCAGAUUUCCACCCCCCCAAACUUUCAUAAUAGAAAAUUCUUUAAAUGUUUCAAUUCAUGAGACAGUGUGUAUAAUAAUUAUUUAUUUUUAAAAUAAAGUUGAAUUGUGGCAUGUUCUAAAGAACAAAUCACCGUCAAAUAAACUGCCACCAAUAAACUCGAGAGGAAAAUGCAAACAUAUUAAGUGAACCCACAAAAUUUUAGUCUUGGUUGAAAAUUGUAGAAUUUCAUAGCCAGUGCUUUUCCAUUUUUCUCCUAUCAUUUUACUUUUGUUAUGCAUGGAAGCAUCUUGUGAUAGAGUGAGAGAAUGGGGUGCUAGGAAAGAAAAAUGUAAUCUUAAAUAGCAUUUAACACAUGGUGAUUACUUGUUCUUGCAAUUCACUAUUGAUUUUUGGAAAUAACAGUAUGAUAUUACAAGUAUUGAUCCAGUGUAAUUUGACAUUCUUGAGGAAGUAGUAAAGUAUGUGGAUAGAAGUAAAUGCAAUGAGUCAUUCUAUAUUGAAGACACAGUUAUGGCAGUUAAUGAUAGAGUUAACAAUUGCCUCUUUGGAUAAUGAAUAUUGGGGUCAUACUUUGCUCUUACAUCAGCUGCUCUCAGUAAGCUAGGCCACUGUCAGCAAGGAUAGACCCAUAUUUUCUUUCCAGGUACAAACCUAUUUUAAUUUUUUUUCCUUAGGAGUAGUAGUGGAAUAGAGGAAUUGGGUUGGAUUUGGCAGCUACUCAGCUGUGCAAGUUUGAGAAAGUCAUUUUACUACCUUGAGCCUUGAACUUAUAAAGCAGAAGAAAAUAAUGACUACUUAUCCAUCAUGAUUACUGUGAAAAAUAACAUAAAAUGGACAUAAUGACUAUGCCAGGCUGCUAGUAAGCCGUAAGUGCUAGGUGUUUUUCCCUUUUCAGAUUAGAGGUUUAAGGUGAAAGUAAAUAAUCACUAAUGAUUGUAGAACAUGUACAUGGUUUGGUUCAAGUUGACCGAAAAAUACACUUCAGAUUUAGUACAUAAAACCACACCAACACAGUAGUUUUGAAAAGUUAUAGAUCUAUAUGUGCUGAAUGCUCUCUCCACCUGGAAAAAUCUUUUUCCUUCUCUUCACUUUUAAUGAAACCUUAGUCAUAUUCAGCCUUUUGUCUUUUAGGAAGUCUUUUCUGAUGCCCCAGUCACUGUGACUUCUUUUUCAUAUUUAUGUACUAUACAAUGUACCCUCUUUUAAGAUGCCCAGGAUGAACUGCUGUAGUGUGUAAAAGUUAUUGUUCUCUUAGUAACCACACCAGUUGCUAAGCUGUGUGAAGCCUGCACAAUUGCACACGCAUCUCAUGUGUGUGCUCAUUUGUGCAGGUGCAUUCCUCUGUGCAUCCCUGUGCGGAGGCCAGAUGUCGACAUUGGCUGUUUCACUCCAUCACUUUUCAUCUUAUUUUGGGGGACAGAGUGUUGUGAAUAUUUGUACUGUGUGAAGAUACAUUACUGUAAUUGGUUUAAUAAAGAGCAGAAUGGCCAAUAGCUAGGCAGGAGGUAUAGGCGGGACUUCCAGGCAGUGAGAAAGGAAGUAGGAGAUGAAUCUAGAUGUGUGUUAGAUGCCAAGGGGACAUGGAGGGAGUUGGACAUAUAGAAUGAAAGAAAAGUAAAAAGUCACGAGGCAAAACGUAGAUUAAUAGAAAUGGGUUAAUUUAAGUUAUAAGAGCUAGUGAGACAAGCCUAAACUAUAAGGGCUAGUGGGACAAGCCCAAGCUAAGGCAAAGCUUUCAUAAUUAAUAUAUCUCUGUGUUGUAUGGGAGCUGGCUGGCAGGACAGAGAAAGACUUGUUACAUAUGGCGCCCAAUGUCUGGCCAUGUACAUCUACAUAAGGACAAGAAAGCCCCCCCCCCCCGCAAAUAUUCUGAACACAGAGUCAAAUGCAACUUCUUGACAUGGUUUUCUGGUGACCAGCGUCUCUUGGGUAGGCUCAGCAUAUAGAGGUGCAGCUCUUUUAAGAGGCUAUGCUGUGCAACAGAGCAUUUGAGCAGCUGGCCCAAUAUAGGUAAAAUAGGUAAAAACACCUGCUGCUUGGACUCAGCAAAUUCCCAGAGCUGGGGCAGUAAACAUGGUGGGUGCCACCAUGAGGCUAGGCUCUCACAGAACUGAGGGGGCGGGGCCAGUUGCCAGAGCUGUGAGGAGGCUGGUGUGGCCAUUUUAAAGGUUGGUCUGGUGUCAGAGAAUGCUACAGACUUUCAGAAAGUCAGGUCUAGAUCAAGAAAUCCUCAGAUUGGUAGAGCAUGCUUAGAACCAUGCUUAGAUGCUAAAGAGAGAUAAGAAAAUGGAUAUAGAUAGUCAUAGAAAAAAUAAACAAUUUAAACAUAAUGAAGUCUUUAAAAAGAGAAUAAAGUGAUAUAAAAAAUAUAAGCCAUGAAGGGAUGGAAAACAUUAUAACACAGGGAGUUUGAACCUUACAUGGUGCUUUGUUAAUUCUGAAAUUUUUGAAUACUAAUGAGUAGAGAAUGACAGCUGCUGAGAGACAUUGGAUUGUGGAAGGGCCUACUGAAUAAAACUAGUCUAUAUACUUUAGAGACGUAUUAGCUUCAAAAUGGAAGUUGGAACACAUUUGUUGUAUUGGGGAAGAGGUUAUUCCUUUUGUUUCCACAGGAACUGAAAAGCUAUGGAUCCCUUCAAAUUUAAUUGAGAUCAGAUUUAACCAGGAGAGACCUCCUGAGGAUCUUGGCUACAGACACUACAGACAUGAGGGGAAAAGCCAAGAAAGACUACAAAACAGGUGAUAUACAAACUGGUCCCUCAGUUUUGGGAACAGCUCUGAGACUGGAUGAGACAUGAUAAAUCUUGUUGGCGUCAGAGUCCUCAUGACUUAUUAUUACAUGCCAUCCUUUCAUAUGGCAUGGAUAGAGAUUUGGUUAUACAGUCCAAAUGGACUUAUAAAGUUGACAGAUGCUCAAGCAUUAAACAAAAGUCAUUGUUAGCUGACUUAUACACACUGCACCUUCCAUACUUAUGUUAAAUACAGAUAUAUAUGUUAGCUUUAAAAGUUUAUUUGUUUUCAGAAAAGAGGACCAGACACCAAUAAAGACAAGUAGCCCAGGUAAUCUAGCCUCUCAGAAUGCCUCUGUUGCAGUUUCCUCAAAAUUUUGCAUCCAGAACAACUUCAAAACUGCUAGCUGAGAUGGUCCAGAAUCAUAGACUACUCCAGUCAGGACUUCAGAUAAGCCCAGCACUUUCCCAUUAUACAGAGACUUGACAACAAAUGAUACAGCUAGCUCUCCCAGGACUUGUCCAUUAAUCAGUUUUCUCAGGGUUCCCUAAAGAUGCUGUCACCCCAGAAUAUAGGAAGCAGUCAGAGAACAUGAUACCCACAUUCCCUAGAGGUAGGGUGGGUAGGUUUUGGUCAUUUGGUAGGUUAUGGGUGUUCGUUAUUAUUUAGGGGUUUGUUUACAAGCUGUUAUUGUUCAUGGUCAGGAAAAAACUAAACAAAGCAGAUUAGAUUUAGGGAUCUCUUUCUGAAGGGACAAAGGGGAGAAUAUAGUAUAGAAAUAAGGGAUAAAAGGGUGGAUUGUUGUGUCUACUUUUGAAUAACCACUAGUCUCAAAUAUUGUACAUUGGUGCUGUGGGAUGGUCUGUAUGGCAAAUGUGUUGCUGAUUAGUCAAUAAAUAAAACACUGUUUGGCCAUUGGCUAGGCAGGAAGUGUAGGCGGGACAAGGAGGAGAAUAAAGCUGGGAAGUGGAAGGCUGAGUCAGAGAGACACUGCCAGCCGCCAUGAUGAGAAACAGCAUAUGAAGAUGCCGGUAAGCCACGAGCCACGUGGCAAGGUAUAGAUUAAUAGAAAUGGAUUAAUUUAAGCUGUAAGAACAGUUAGCAAGAAGCCUGCCACGGCCAUACAGUUUGUAACCAAUAUAAGUCUCUGUGUUUACUUGGUCGGGUCUGAGUGGCUGUGGGACUGGUGGGUGAGAGAGAUUUGCCCUGACCCUGGACCAGGCAGGAAAACUCUAGCUACACAUUGGUAUGGAUUUUUGUAUAGUGAUACAAAUUUAAGGUUAUUUUCAUUACGCUGCAUAGAUAUUCAUAUUCUUUUUUAAAGUUAUUGUGUCUAUAAAGCUCAUUUAAAACUGUAAAGUUCUAGUCCUUAAAAGCUAUAAUUGUAAACCAUUUAAGAUGAUUAAAAAAUGGGUUAAUUUAAGUUAUAAGAUUAGUAGUUAGUCAUCUAUAACAAUCAAACCUAUAGCUAUGUUCUGUAUGUUUUCAAGGUCAUACAGAGAUAUAUUUUACAUAGAUAUAUGAUCUUCAAAAGCUUCAAAAAUGUACAAAAUUUAAAAUUUAAAUUUAAAUGUUCUAAUAACCUAAGGCUCUUCAUGACAGUGAGACAUGUCUGCUCCUGGCAGCACCAAUUUACUUCAAAAAAGGAUGAUGGCCAUCAAAGAACCACCAUAUGGAGUUUGCUUUCUUUGUGGCAAAAGUUAGCCACUGGGCAAGAAAUUGCUCUUGCCUCAAUGGCUGACAGUAUGCUAUCCAAAUUGGACAAGCAGGACCCACAAAAACGCAACUGCCAAACUUUGCCAAGACAAGAUAGGACAGCCCUUCAAAAUUCCUAUUUCACAGAAAUAUCUGUCAGGCAUUCUAGGCCUGUAGGCCAAAGAUGGAUACCCCAAUGUUGCAGAGGAAACUUGGUGACUGUUCAGGCAGCCAGAUGUCUCUGUCAUUUCUAUGGUUUUGGAAGUUGUUUGCUCUGCACAUCCUUCUGAGUCACCAACGGAGGUGGACAGGAGAUAGUUAUAGUUUUCCUUGUUACCAAAUUUAGAAAGGAAACUCACAAAAGUGAUAAAAAGUAUAUGAGGUUGAGAGACACAAAAGAUUAAAUCAUUUAUCUAAGAAAUGUUUUGAGGUCUGAAAAGAUAGUUUUGUGUUGGAAAUACAAGCUAGGAUAGAACAUAAAUUAGGUACAAAACUUUUGACUCACCAAGAUAGGAUAGAUAAUGGAUUAUUUACUCUGAAUUUGGCAAAUACAGAUAGACAUAGGACAUUGUAAAUAUUCUUACCUGAUAAUUGUUCUUAUUGCUAUAGUUUUGCUAUCUUAGAGUUAAAACCUUUCCUUUUUAUUUAAACAAAAAGGGAGAAGUGCUGUGGGGUAUUUGUACACUGCAUGAAGAUAUAUUACUGUGAUUGAUUUCAUAAAGAGCUGAACAGCCAACAGCUAGGCAGGAGGUAUAGGGAGGACUUCCAGGCAUAGAGGAAGGAAGUAGGAGAUGAAUGUAGGCAAGCAUCAGAUGCCAAUGAGACAUGGAGGGAGUCGCACAUAUAAAAUGAAAGAAAGAUAAAAAGCCAUGAGACAAAAAGUAGAUUAAUAUAAAUGGGUUAAUUUAAGUUAUAAGAGCUAAACUAAGGCAAAGCUUUCAUAAUUAAUAAGUCUCUGUUGUUAUUUGGGUGCAGGCUGGCAGGGCAGAGAAAGACUCAUUACAGCAGAGUCCCUUACUGAACCUGAAGACCACUAUUUCAGCUGGAAUAGCUGGCCAGCCAGCCUCCAGGAGUUCUCCUGUCUCUGCCUUUCUUGCAGAGGGUGCAGAGCUGUGCCUGACUUUUACACAGUUUCGGGGAGCCGAACUCAGGUCCUCAUAUGUUUGCAGCAAGGAUGUUAUCCCCUGAGCUACCUCCGCAGCCCAAGAAUUUUUCUUUUAUUUUUGAGAUUAUAAUAUAAUUACAUAAUUUCUCCUUUCCUUUCUCUCCUUUCAUACCCUCCCAUAUAACCCUCCUUACUGUCUUUCAAUUCAUGUCCUUUGUUUUCAUUAAUUGUUGUUAUAUGCAUAUACAUACAUACAUACAUAUAUUUUCAAGUAUAACCUUGAUUUUCAUUUUACACAGCACUGACUUCAUUUAAAUUAAAUUAAAUUCUGAAAGUUCCCUAAAAUGUUCACAAUAUUAUAUCGUAAUGACAUGUAUGUCAUCACUUGUCCACAAAUCCCCUCCAUCUUUAAAAACAUAUCAUAAAAAGGCUAGUUUUAUGGCACUCAGGUUCCAAUCCUGUUUUUGUUUCAUCAUGAACCAGUUUGUGUUUACUAUAGCAAAGCAUGUGAUCUGCAAUAGGCAGCUGGUUUAUUAUAGACAUAGAAUAUGUAAUCCUGCCCCAAGAAAAAAAUAGAAAUAAUCCAGACCAAUGAUUCUCAAACUGUUUUCCUGUACUUGGAUUCAGUAUGGGAUGAAAUUUCCAAUUAAACCAAAACCACUUAUCUUUUCUGAACUGGCUAAUUAAAGUGCACUGAACUGACUUAAGUUUCCAUUUGUGCACUACACUUGAAAAACUGUGUUAUUUACUGCUUAAAAAACAAUGCACAGAGAAUGGGCAGGUUAAUAUUACUGGUCAAGUCUUAGAACACCUAAUCACAUCCGGCAUAUUUGACUCAUGUGUAUUGGGAUAAUUUCAGCUGAGAUGUUAGUUUGCAAAUUUUUUAAUUAGUUUAUUUAUUUUACAUCUGUGCUACAGUUUUCCCUCUCUCAUCUCCUCCCAGUUCCUCUCUUGUACCCCUGUCCCAUUAAUUCAUUCCUCCUCCAUUUCUGCUCAGAAUUUUAAGAUGUCUUAACUGUGCAAGUAAACCUGUUUAUGCUUUUUGAUAGAAUUAAAUAUUUGAGCAUUCAAAAAUGUUAUUGCUAACUUCCAGGGACUCUGAGAAAUUCUAAUUUCUGUUGACUCCCAUAGGUUUGGACAAAUGAGACACAGAUGGAGUGCCUGGCUGGCUUCAGUCACAGUGUCAGGACAGGGAGGAAACAACUUGUAGAAUAACAGGGUAUUCUUUCCUGCUGAUGUCCUACAAAGUGACUAAGAACACUGUAGAUGCUUGUUACAUUUCUGAAGUAAAUGGGAGAAGGGUGGAGAGUCAUCCGGGGUUUGCUGUCCUCAGGUCCACUCUUCAAGGUGUCAGGUAAGCAUCCUUUAUCUUCAGAAGCUGUGCCCACAGCUCAGGCAUUAGCAUUAUACUUGCUUCUUAAGGAGCCUUGCUAAGCUUAACCCUGGGAAGGACUUCCCAUAUUGUCUGGAUCCAUCAUGUGACAAUCUAAUUCCUUUAAAUUCUUAGAGAAAAAAUCCUUCAAUUUAAGAUGUGAUUGCUGCCUUGGUAAGAAUGUUUUGAAUUUUUUCUCUGUGUUGGCUUUCCAAUACCAUUUUGAAGAAGUGUAGCUUAGAGAAAGGUGCAUGGAAGGGGUCACAAAAUGUAUUUUUAGUUUUACUGUGACAAUAUUUCCCAACUAGAGUCUUUUAGAGGACAGGUUGUUGUGGCGUAUUUAUGAAGGUGUCCAAAAUGUUAGGAAUAUAAGAUGGACUGAUUUUAAACAAUAUGUUAGUUGCAUUGACAUAUGCUCAAGAUAUUUUUCAAACUUUAAGGUUCUUUUGUAUUGUUUCUGUGAAUAAGUAAUGGUGUGUGUGUUUGUGUGUGUGUGUGUGUGUGUGUGUGUGUGAGAGAGAGAGAGAGAGAGAGAGAGAGAGAGAGAGAGAGAGAGAGAGAGAGAGACAGACAGACAGAGAGACAGAGAGAAAGAGAGAAAGAGAGAGACAGAGACAGAGAGAAAGACAGAGAGACAGAGACAAACAUAGAGAGAUGAGAGAAGAAAGAGACAUUCCUGGGGGUGGAAUACAUUACAAGGUAGUAGAAUCUAUUUCUCAUAUAUUCCAUUUGGGAAGUCUACAUUUCAUUUUCCUGUUUCAUAGGUAAGAUGGUUAUGUGCAUAAAUCAAGAUAAUUAAGGAUUCUGAAACAGUAAUAAUAAUAGCAACUACAAUGGGAAUAUUAAUAAAAAGAUGCCACAGUGGGAAACACAGGCCCCAGUCAGUAACUACAUUUCCUACAGGCUUCUGUUCUCUACCACACAAUCUAAAAAUGUAAAUUAUUUCUAAAGCUUCUAGGACAGCAGAGCACAGAUUUGCAGGGCACAAACAAACAAAUGUGCACAUUUGCGGUGCCCUUUGAGAACUUGAAAUCUUAUUCUUGUGACCCCAGGAAGCUGGCCAAGAGGAAAGGAGAGGAAAGGCAUACAGGGUAUUUGUCUUUGCAUUUGGAAAUGCCUCUGAUCAGAAGAGCUGGGACAGUGUCUGUGCUUUUGUGGGAACUAGGCAUGUGCCAGUGGAGGAAGCAAGAUCAAGAGCAGUUUGCUCUUUCAGGGACUUCAAAGCCCAUUCAUCUGAAGAUGUGGCCAUUACCAUUUUGGCUUCCUCACUGUGCCUUGGAUGGCCCUGCACUUUUCAAGAGGAAAGCCUUGCUGGGUUGGGGCCAGUUAAAAUGUAUUCCUUGAAGUGCAAUGUCCCAGAAAAUAUGCCCUUCCUGGCUGUGCUCUGUGAUUAUAGUCCCAACCGUGAUCUUUGUUCCUAUUGGAUGAGUCAGAUGCAGAGGUGAACGGGGCAGUGAGGCUGGACUACUGUUUUCCUAGUGUGCUCUUCUUCCUAGUGUGGAGAACUGUAAACAUAAGAACCAUAUCAAGCAGAUUCUGAUUCUCUGACCUCAGGAGUCUUUCUUUUUACAGUAUCAAGAGAUAUUAGGAGGAAAAAGUCAGAAAACAACCAAAUAAAUAAUUACAGUUUUAAAAACCGACUUUGGCUGUUUAUCCUACUCAGUCCCAACCACCAGUCCAACAGGACUAGGGAACUGUUCUCAUCACUGGUAAGUUAAGUCAUGAGACUAAGUUUUGCUCAUGGGGUUUAGGUAUUUUUCUGAGAAUAAGAUAGACAGUAAUUUUCCCAUCUAAAACCAAGACUCAAACCAAAACAGAACAAAGUUUAGGGCAGUGCUCUAACCUUGUAGUUCCUAAUAAUCUAUCUGCUUUAUGUUGGGGGUUCUGAAGACUAGACAGAGGUGUGCCCUUUGUGAAACACAGAGGGCAUCUGUCUUUUCCUAGGUCCCCAGAUCUUAACACAAUAUCUAAACAUAUGUGGAUUGAAUGAGUAAAUCAAGUCUUUGACAGCUUGUCCAGUCAAUAUUCAUUAUGUGAUCUUGGAUACAUUUCUCUUUUGCCAAGUUCUAAUCUCUCAGCUCUAACCAUUUAGGCCUCCUGAUCUCACACCAGGGAGUGACUAUUAUGAAUGAUUCCUGAGAUAAUGUCCACUCAACCCUAGAGAUGUCUCAGGGUAUCUCGGGCUGUGCAUUGGGUGAAGAGACUGACAUUCAUAAGGGGAAGUGACUUUCAAAAUGUACACAGCCAACAGAUAGAAAAGCCAUGGUGAAGCCCACUCUCUGCUGAGGAUAAGGCUCCCUUUCUGCAAACAAGGGGACGUUCAUCAGCUGAGAUUUGGCUUGAAGUCCAAUUAGAGAGCUGUUGGUUACUGCCAAGGUGGCAGCCUUUAUUUUGGUGAUACUCAGAUCAUGAAGAACAAAAGAAAGUGAAUUCUGGGAAAGACUCAGGGUGUCUACUGUUCUUUUCAUGCUGUGAAAAAAGAGAAUGUCAAUUGGAAAUAUUCAGUCACCUGUGGCACCCA